AAAAUCCAAAAUUUUCCCUCUAUAUUCAGUUGAGCCUUCUAUCGCAUAAUUACAUAUCUCUCUGUCUUCUUCCCCAAAUCAAACUCUCUAUCAGCUUUCUCUCACAACCUCAGCUCACCGACUCUCCCUAUCCUCACCCUGACAGACUAAACCCAACCCUAACCUCUGAUUCACAGCCAACGGCGACGGUGGCCCAACCCCAACUCCUACCUCUAUCGGUGACUCCAACCCCAUUCAAAUCCUAAACGAACCAAAGAGGUUCAUUUUCUCACAGCCAUUUCGCACCAUCUCUGGCCCUCUUAGAUCAAUUUUGCACCCAGCCCGUGUGCGCCGUCUCUUAGCCCUGCUGAUGCGAGUACAAUAAUUGUUUCUUGUUUUGAAGAUUGAGGUUAAAUUCCUCCAGAUCACCUCAGUAGUAAAUGACCCCUGUUCGAUGCUUUAUUGGGUUCAAGAUUCAGUAAGUGCUUCAGUUUCAUAACCGAUGGUGGUGGCUGCGACGCCUUCAGGGCACCAAGGGAAUGAUUGAGGUAUUUUGAGCAGAACAACUGUAUUUGUUAUGGAGUUAAUGCUCAUAAUAAGGAUAGCCUCAGGCAGUUUUUGAACUUCUUACAAGCUCGAGUUAGAGAAUUGAGGAAGAAAGAUAAUUCUUUUAGACAAUAUUGUUAUUGGUUGGGAUUCUUAGUGUUGGUAAAUCAGCUCUUGCUAACUCUUUGCAUCAAAUUGGGAGGACAAGUGCAGCAGAGAGAGAGAGAUUUAAGCAUGUUAAAGAGAGUCCACAGCCUGGUGACAAAAGAUAUCAGCAGCUUAAAUGUGGAAAGUGAAUCUGAUCUAAAAGGAACAAGAAGUGGCAAAUCAGAAACGAGUCCUCUAAAUCUGCUCAAUACAAGUGUUGACUUUGACAAUAGAAAUACAAUAUGAUUGUGGACUUGUGGUGCUUAGACAUCAUCUUUCAAUGUGACUCCCAAUAAGCACUUCAAGCAAUACUAGCAUCACAAAUCAUGCCUACAGAUCCUCACAGAAUGUUUUAACAGUUUGAGGGCAGGUGCCUUCACAUUUUUUUUGUUUGGUUAUUGUAUUGCUAGUUUCUUUGUUGUUCAUUUAAUUUAGUUUGUACUGGGUAGCUUAUUUUAUUUUUCUUGUUGGUAACUCUGAUUCAUUGAGUUUGCUGUUUUAGUGUUUAUGGGCAAAGUACAAUUCAAGGAUUAUAUUGUAAUUGAAAUUUUUAUGAUUGACAUUGUAAUUUUUUAUGUAAUGAAUAAAUCUGUAUAAUAAUAUUUAAAUAUA